rnacentral:piRNA from 1 species
UGGAGCACCUUCCGGCCUCUACAUGC